rnacentral:rRNA from 1 species
CACGUAGGGGGCGAGCGUUGUCCGGAUUUAUUGGGCGUAAAGAGCUCGUAGGCGGCUCAGUUAGUCGGGUGUGAAACCCCCGGGCUCAACCCGGGGACGCCACCCGAUACUGCUGUGGCUAGAGUCCGGUAGGGGAGCGUGGAAUUCCUGGUGUAGCGGUGAAAUGCGCAGAUAUCAGGAGGAACACCAGCGGCGAAGGCGGCGCUCUGGGCCGGAACUGACGCUGAGGAGCGAAAGCGUGGGGAGCAAACAGG